GGCCUAAAGCGUCCGUAGCCGGGCCCGUAAGUCCCUGGCGAAAUCCCACGGCUCAACCGUGGGGCUUGCUGGGGAUACUGCGGGUCUUGGGACCGGGAGAGGCGGGGGGUACCCCUGGGGUAGGGGUGAAAUCCUAUAAUCCCAGGGGGACCGCCAGUGGCGAAGGCGCCCCGCUGGAACGGGUCCGACGGUGAGGGACGAAGGCCAGGGGAGCAAACCGGAUUAGAUACCCGGGUAGUCCUGGCUGUAAAGGAUGCGGGCUAGGUGUCGGGUGAGCCUCGAGCUCGCCCGGUGCCGUAGGGAAGCCGUUAAGCCCGCCGCCUGGGGAGUACGGCCGCAAGGCUGAAACUUAAAGGAAUUGGCGGGGGAGCACUACAAGGGGUGGAGCGUGCGGUUUAAUUGGAUUCAACGCCGGGAACCUCACCGGGGGCGACGGCAGGAUGAAGGCCAGGCUGAAGGUCUUGCCGGACACGCCGAGAGGAGGUGCAUGGCCGCCGUCAGCUCGUACCGUGAGGCGUCCACUUAAGUGUGGUAACGAGCGAGACCCGUGCCCCCAGUUGCCAGCCCUUCCCGUUGGGAAGGGGGCACUCUGGGGGGACUGCCGGCGAUAAGCCGGAGGAAGGAGCGGGCGACGGUAGGUCAGUAUGCCCCGAAACCCCCGGGCUACACGCGCGCUACAAUGGGUGGGACAAUGGGAUCCGACCCCGAAAGGGGAAGGGAAUCCCCUAAACCCGCCCCCAGUUCGGAUCGCGGGCUGCAACUCGCCCGCGUGAAGCUGGAAUCCCUAG
rnacentral:rRNA from 1 species